GCUAGUUUGAAGAUAAGAAUGAUAUAAUAUUGUGGUGACUUUUAUUUUGACGCGCGAGUGCAGAGCGCUCACUUCCGGUGCCGGUUAAGUGUUUCCUGGAGACGAGCUGCGGCUGUUUUGAAAAGAACAUGAAGCACGACUCUGACUCUGAUCUCGACGAAAGAAUCGAAACAUUGAAGCAGAAGUAUGCUCAGAGGCGCAACCAGGCUCCAGACGCGUCUGCUGAUGGACACACGCCAGACCACCGCACGGCUCUCAGAGAGCGCUACAGGACGCGUUCUGACCUGCCACAGAGGUCAGGGGUCAGGGGUCAGGGGUCAUCUGCUGUAGUUAAGCUGGCUUGAGAAAGAUCU
rnacentral:lncRNA from 1 species